rnacentral:rRNA from 1 species
UUGAACGCUGGCGGAAUGCUUUACACAUGCAAGUCGGGCGGCAGCGCGGGGGCAACCCUGGCGGCGAGCGGCGAACGGGUGAGUAACAUAUUGGAACGUACCCAGACGUGGGGGACAACUAGUCGAAAGACUAGCUAAUACCGCAUACGUCCUGAGGGAGAAAGCGGGGGAUCGCAAGACCUCGCGCGUUUGGAGCGGCCGAUAUCUGAUUAGCUAGAUGGUGGGGUAAAGGCCCACCAUGGCGACGAUCAGUAGCUGGUCUGAGAGGAUGAGCAGCCACACUGGAACGGAGACACGGUCCAGACGCCUACGGGAGGCAGCAGUGGGGAAUUUUGGACAAUGGGGGAAACCCUGAUCCAGCCAUUCCGCGUGAGUGAAGAAGGCCUUCGAGUUGUAAAGCUCUUUCGGCAGGAACGAAACGGCGGAAUCUAAUACAUUCCACUAAUGACGGUACCUGAAGAAGAAGCACCGGCUAACUACGU